rnacentral:lncRNA from 1 species
GUGAGUGUGAGAGCAAGAACAGCCCGCAGGUCCCGAGGCGCUUGCAGGGGACUCUGCCGCGGAAAGUUCCCAGUCCCCAGCCGCAGAAGCUUUUUAUUUUUGGUUGAUUCCUGCUGUCUACUCCUCUUGGAUGCCUUUGUGAAACUGCUUCUAUCUGAGAAGGAGGAGUUGCCAUUUAGCAAGUAGUAGGUGGUACCGUGUGUGGCAGAGUCCGAUGUGUUACACCACGAGGACAUUCAUCUUUGCAAUUGGUGAAGUCCUUCUACCUAGUUCCCCUUCCUUGUGCACAGAAGAGGACUGGAAAACUCCUCACAGGACUGCAUACUGCUAUCUCUGAGAAACCAGAAAGAAGAAAGUACCUCUUCCUUCCAAGCUUCUACCUAAGAGUAUACUGGAAGGUUUACCUAGAGCAACAAGACAACGAAAUGGAUUGUCCUUCUCACGCUAGUCCACACACAAUCCUCAUCAUUUUGAUAAGAUAGCAUGAAGUCUCUUAUCGCUUGUGGAUCCAGCACUUUGGUUCAGCAAAAGAAUAACUAAGACAACAGACCUUUCUGAAGUUCUAUUUUUAAAAAUGUGUUCCAGUAAAUGGCUAGUGUCCUUGAGUUCUGGAUGUCACUGUGAACUCACAGAAAGGUUCAUCUGCCCAUAAUUCUCUAAGAUUUGGAGCUGUUGAGGAGUGGCUCAUAGUAGACACUGAACCAUCAGCCAACAGCAUUUGUUGUCCUGGAUGUCUGUGCCAACCUUUCGAGUCACACUGGGGUCUAAAGACACACCUGGAAUAAAAAUCAGAAUGCUUAAGAAACUUAAUAUGAUCUGCGGGAGAAUACAUGAGGUUUUUGUUUCAUACCACAGUCUGAUGACAGCAUGGAUUUCAACUGAUGAUGUUCACCUUUGCCUCUUGGGUCAAUAUGUGAGCUCAGAGAUUUCCCUGCUUUUGUUCUGUCAUUAUGGAUUCUAAACUUCUGAAACUACAUACUCAAUUAAAUGUUUUCUUUUAUAAAUUA